rnacentral:rRNA from 1 species
UACGUAGGGGGCAAGCGUUGUCCGGAAUUAUUGGGCGUAAAGCGCGCGCAGGCGGUCAAUUAAGUUGGGUGUUUAAGCCCGGGGCUCAACCCCGGUUCGCAUCCAAAACUGGUUGACUUGAGUGUAGGAGAGGAAAGUGGAAUUCCACGUGUAGCGGUGAAAUGCGUAGAGAUGUGGAGGAAUACCGGUGGCGAAGGCGGCAUCCUGGACCGACAUGGACGCUGAGGAGCGAAAGCUAGGGGAGCAAACGGG